rnacentral:rRNA from 1 species
GAUGAACGCUGGCGGCGUGCCUAAUACAUGCAAGUCGAGCGAACAGACGAGGAGCUUGCUCCUUUGACGUUAGCGGCGGACGGGUGAGUAACACGUAGGUAACCUACCUAUAAGACUGGGAUAACUUCGGGAAACCGGAGCUAAUACCGGAUAAUAUUUCGAACCGCAUGGUUCGAUAGUGAAAGAUGGCUUUGCUAUCACUUAUAGAUGGACCUGCGCCGUAUUAGCUAGUUGGUAAGGUAACGGCUUACCAAGGCAACGAUACGUAGCCGACCUGAGAGGGUGAUCGGCCACACUGGAACUGAGACACGGUCCAGACUCCUACGGGAGGCAGCAGUAGGGAAUCUUCCGCAAUGGGCGAAAGCCUGACGGAGCAACGCCGCGUGAGUGAUGAAGGUCUUCGGAUCGUAAAACUCUGUUAUUAGGGAAGUACAAACGUGUAAGUAACUGUGCACGUCUUGACGGUACCUAAUCAGAAAGCCACGGCUAACUACGUG